GAUGAACGCUGGCGGCGUGCCUAAUACAUGCAAGUCGAGCGAACAGACAAGGAGCUUGCUCCUCUGACGUUAGCGGCGGACGGGUGAGUAACACGUGGAUAACCUACCUAUAAGACUGGGAUAACUUCGGGAAACCGGAGCUAAUACCGGAUAAUAUAUUGAACCGCAUGGUUCAAUAGUGAAAGACGGUUUUGCUGUCACUUAUAGAUGGAUCCGCGCCGCAUUAGCUAGUUGGUAAGGUAACGGCUUACCAAGGCAACGAUGCGUAGCCGACCUGAGAGGGUGAUCGGCCACACUGGAACUGAGACACGGUCCAGACUCCUACGGGAGGCAGCAGUAGGGAAUCUUCCGCAAUGGGCGAAAGCCUGACGGAGCAACGCCGCGUGAGUGAUGAAGGUCUUCGGAUCGUAAAACUCUGUUAUUAGGGAAGAACAAAUGUGUAAGUAACUAUGCACGUCUUGACGGUACCUAAUCAGAAAGCCACGGCUAACUACGGG
rnacentral:rRNA from 1 species